rnacentral:rRNA from 1 species
UACGUAGGCAGCAAGCGUUGUUCGGAGUUACUGGGCGUAAAGGGUGUGUAGGCGGUUCCUUAAGUUUGCUGUGAAAUCUCCCGGCUUAACCGGGAGGGUGCGGUGAAUACUGAGGGACUAGAGUACGGGAGAGGAAAGUGGAAUUCCUGGUGUAGCGGUGAAAUGCGUAGAUAUCUGGAGGAACACCGGUGGCGAAGGCGGCAUCCUGGACCGGCAUUGACGCUGAGGCGCGAAAGCCAGGGGAGCAAACGGG